GACAAGAAUUUAUUAUUAUUCUUGACACCCAAGUAUUUAACAUCUACAACAACAACAACAACAAAAAAUAACAUGAAACAACAGACGACGAAAACGAAACGUUUUGAAUCCUAAUCGUAUAUUGUCUCCAUUCUCAUAAAUAAAGCCAUAAAUCUAACCAGACAAAUCCUGUUGAUGAUGAUAUCGUCAUGUUUUAACGACAGAAACAGACACAGACAACGAUGAAGAUCAACCAGUAAACAACGACAACAAGAAAGAUUUACAUUUGCCAAGAAUUUGAAUUUUUUGUGAUUGUCAAUCUUGAUAAUUUUCUCUUUCUUUCUCUUAUUUUUGAUGUAAUGGAAAUACAAGCAUUCUGAAACGUUCAUUGACUUUGUUGUUGUUGUUGUUGUUGUUGUGUGGUUGUUUUUCUUUUUGAUAAUCUUGAUACAUGAACAUCAGAUAUCAAUGGAAAUGGCUUCGUUCAAAAAAAAAAUUCUUGAUUGUCACCAUCAUCGUCGUCGUCGUAGUUGAAAUCGUCGUUGCUGAUUCUUUCAAGAAUUCUCAUCGUUGACAUUCUUCUUCUUCUUCUGUUUAUGUUGCUGAAUUGCAAGUACGAAAAAAAUCCAAAAAUAUCGAAAAUCUGAUGAAAUCGAUGAUGAUGAUGAUUAAAGAAGAUUCUUGAAUACGAAUCUUGCAACAAAAAACGGCAUUAAUUCCUGAAUUCAUUGGGAUUCAUCUGUUGUUGUUCAUUCAUGGUCAAUUCAUGAAGAUCAUAUUGAAAACGAACCAAAACCAAAAAAAAAAUCAUCUGAAUCUUAACCUGAACAAAAACAACGAUGAAUGAAUGGAAAUAAAAAUUUAGGCCAAAUUGGAAUUCUUGGAAAUGAAAUAAAUAAAAAAAUUUGGAACACCGACACAC